GUGAGCAUGUGAUGCAAUGCAACAUUUCUCCAAAUAGGUCCAAAUAAAGAAAUAAACUCUAAUCUACAUGCAGCACUUUAUUUAUUUAUUUUUAUUUUUUAGUUGAAGUAUUUCUUUAAAGGGGGGUACAAUGGUAUUUCGUUUAUUCAGAGUUGUUCACAGUGUUAAAGAGAUGGAUUCUCAUGCUAAACAUGGCCAAAGUUUUAAAAAAUAAUGUAGAAGAAUGCCAAAAAUCUUACUUCCGUUGUCGGCUGUUUUUUUAUUUUUUUUUUAUUUUUAUUUUUUCUUCCGGUGUCGGCUGUUUUUUUUUUUUCAAUCGUGUAUCUAAUGACGUAGACUAGAACGGAAGUCCUUACAUGAGCAUUUCUGUCGGAAAAGCGCGCCCGCGCACACGUUGGACAGGGGAGAGCGAGACCACGCACAUCAACGCGCUUCAAAAUCGUCGGCAGCGCUGCGUAGGAUUUGUUCGAGAAUGCCUCCAAAUAAGUGCGUUUUUGGAUGUGAGGGAAAGUUUACUGUGUACAGCUCCCCAAAGAACCCAGCGUUACAUGAACAGUGGAUGCAGUUUUUAGUUUUUUUCUGGGAAGCAAUGGAGUGUAUCAAGUGCAUUUGUGUGUUCUGGUCACGAAAGUUUUAUAAACAAGGCCCAAGUCGACGCUGUAUUUGCACAUCGUUUGCUAUUAAACAUGGAGCUGACCCUGUGACAAAAGACCCCAUUCAUGCAAGCCUUAACAUGAAACCCGCAGGGCAAGCGGAAAAGAGGCAGGCCAAGAAACACAUGGCGUCGAGAACUGGAGGCAGAUAUAAAGAACAUGAAUAUUACCUGGAACCAACUAGAGAAGAGACCCCAGGACAGAGACUCUUGGAGAUCCCUAAUUGGCGGCCUAUGCCCCAAAAGAGAUGUCAUUAA
rnacentral:lncRNA from 1 species